UGGGGAAUUUUGGACAAUGGGCGCAAGCCUGAUCCAGCCAUGCCGCGUGCGGGAAGAAGGCCUUCGGGUUGUAAACCGCUUUUGUCAGGGAAGAAAUCUUCUGAGUUAAUACCUCGGGAGGAUGACGGUACCUGAAGAAUAAGCACCGGCUAACUACGUGCCAGCAGCCGCGGUAAUACGAAGGGUGCAAGCGUUAAUCGGAAUUACUGGGCGUAAAGCGUGCGCAGGCGGUUUUGUAAGACAGAGGUGAAAUCCCCGGGCUCAACCUGGGAACUGCCUUUGUGACUGCAAGGCUUGAGUGCGGCAGAGGGGGAUGGAAUUCCGCGUGUAGCAGUGAAAUGCGUAGAUAUGCGGAGGAACACCGAUGGCGAAGGCAAUCCCCUGGGCCUGCACUGACGCUCAUGCACGAAAGCGUGGGGAGCAAACAGGAUUAGAUACCCUGGUAGUCCACGCCCUAAACGAUGUCAACUGGUUGUUGGGAAGGUUCCUUCUCAGUAACGUAGCUAACGCGUGAAGUUGACCGCCUGGGGAGUACGGCCGCAGGG
rnacentral:rRNA from 1 species